rnacentral:rRNA from 1 species
GGGUUGUAAACCGCUUUUGUCAGGGAAGAAACGGCCUGAUCUAAUAAAUCGGGCUAAUGACGGUACCUGAAGAAUAAGCACCGGCUAACUACGUGCCAGCAGCCGCGGUAAUACGUAGGGUGCAAGCGUUAAUCGGAAUUACUGGGCGUAAAGCGUGCGCAGGCGGCUUUGCAAGACAGAUGUGAAAUCCCCGGGCUUAACCUGGGAACUGCAUUUGUGACUGCAUGGCUAGAGUGCGGCAGAGGGGGAUGGAAUUCCGCGUGUAGCAGUGAAAUGCGUAGAUAUGCGGAGGAACACCGAUGGCGAAGGCAAUCCCCUGGGCCUGCACUGACGCUCAUGCACGAAAGCGUGGGGAGCAAACAGGAUUAGAUACCCUGGUAGUCCACGCCCUAAACGAUGUCAACUGGUUGUUGGACGGCUUGCUGUUCAGUAACGAAGCUAACGCGUGAAGUUGACCGCCUGGGGAGUACGGCCGCAAGGUUGAAACUCA